UAAGGAAUAUUGGUCAAUGGACGCAAGUCUGAACCAGCCAUGCCGCGUGAAGGAUGAAGGUCCUCUGGAUUGUAAACUUCUUUUAUCUGGGACGAAAACGGGAUUUUUAUCUCAAUUGACGGUACCAGAGGAAUAAGCACCGGCUAACUUCGUGCCAGCAGCCGCGGUAAUACGGAGGGUGCGAGCGUUAUCCGGAUUUACUGGGUUUAAAGGGUGCGUAGGUGGGCUUAUAAGUCAGUGGUGAAAUCUCCGAGCUUAACUUGGAAACUGCCGUUGAUACUAUAGGUCUUGAAUUAUCUGGAGGUAAGCGGAAUAUGUCAUGUAGCGGUGAAAUGCUUAGAUAUGACAUAGAACACCAAUUGCGAAGGCAGCUUACUACAUAUAAAUUGACGCUGAGGCACGAAAGCGUGGGGAUCAAACA
rnacentral:rRNA from 1 species